CCUAACACAUGCAAGUCGAACGGUAACAGGAAGCAGCUUGCUGCUUCGCUGACGAGUGGCGGACGGGUGAGUAAUGUCUGGGAAACUGCCUGAUGGAGGGGGAUAACUACUGGAAACGGUAGCUAAUACCGCAUAACGUCGCAAGACCAAAGAGGGGGACCUUCGGGCCUCUUGCCAUCGGAUGUGCCCAGAUGGGAUUAGCUAGUAGGUGGGGUAACGGCUCACCUAGGCGACGAUCCCUAGCUGGUCUGAGAGGAUGACCAGCCACACUGGAACUGAGACACGGUCCAGACUCCUACGGGAGGCAGCAGUGGGGAAUAUUGCACAAUGGGCGCAAGCCUGAUGCAGCCAUGCCGCGUGUAUGAAGAAGGCCUUCGGGUUGUAAAGUACUUUCAGCGGGGAGGAAGGCGAUAAGGUUAAUAACCUUGUCGAUUGACGUUACCCGCAGAAGAAGCACCGGCUAACUCCGUGCCAGCAGCCGCGGUAAUACGGAGGGUGCAAGCGUUAAUCGGAAUUACUGGGCGUAAAGCGCACGCAGGCGGUCUGUCAAGUCGGAUGUGAAAUCCCCGGGCUC
rnacentral:rRNA from 1 species